GCCUAUCUCUUUCACUGACCACCCAGCUCUGAAGGCAGCGCAGAAAUAAGGGUGGCAAUACCGCGAUCCCCCUAACAUAGCCUUGCAGCCCCUCUGCAAUUCUCUUUUGGGUCAGCACCUUCAAUUUGAGAAGCGCUGGUCUUCUGUGUGAAAUCUGUA